UACAGAGGGGGCAAGCGUUAUUCGGAAUUAUUGGGCGUAAAGGGCGCGUAGGCGGCUUGGCAAGUGGAUGGUGAAAUCUCCGGGCUUAACUCGGAACGGUCAGAUGAUACUGCUUUGCUAGAGUGCGGAAGGGGCAAUCGGAAUUCUUGGUGUAGCGGUGAAAUGCGUAGAUAUCAAGAGGAACACCUGAGGUGAAGACGGGUUGCUGGGCCGACACUGACGCUGAGUGCGCGAAAGCCAGGGGAGCAAACGGG
rnacentral:rRNA from 1 species